UACGGAAGGCAGCAGUGGGGAAUAUUGCACAAUGGGCGCAAGCCUGAUGCAGCCAUGCCGCGUGUAUGAAAAAGGCCUUCGGGUUGUAAAGUACUUUCAGUCGUGAGGAAGGUGUUAAGGUUAAUAACCUUAGCAAUUGACGUUAGCGACAGAAGAAGCACCGGCUAACUCCGUGCCAGCAGCCGCGGUAAUACGGAGGGUGCGAGCGUUAAUCGGAAUUACUGGGCGUAAAGGGCACGCAGGCGGUUAAUUAAGUUGGAUGUGAAAUCCCCGGGCUUAACCUGGGAAUGGCAUUCAAGACUGGUUAGCUAGAGUCUUGUAGAGGGGGUAGGAUUCCAUGUGUAGCGGUGAAAUGCGUAGAGAUGUGGAGGAAUACCGGUGGCGAAGGCGGCCCCUGGACAAAGACUGACGCUCAUGUGCGAAAGCGUGGGGAGCAAACAGGGAUUAGAUACC
rnacentral:rRNA from 1 species